CCUACGGGUGGCAGCAGUGAGGAAUAUUGGUCAAUGGACGAGAGUCUGAACCAGCCAAGUAGCGUGAAGGAUGACUGCCCUAUGGGUUGUAAACUUCUUUUAUAUGGGAAUAAAAUGUUCCACGUGUGGGAUUUUGUAUGUACCAUAUGAAUAAGGAUCGGCUAACUCCGUGCCAGCAGCCGCGGUAAUACGGAGGAUCCGAGCGUUAUCCGGAUUUAUUGGGUUUAAAGGGAGCGUAGGUGGAUUGUUAAGUCAGUUGUGAAAGUUUGCGGCUCAACCGUAAAAUUGCAGUUGAAACUGGCAGUCUUGUGUACAGUAGAGGUGGGCGGAAUUCGUGGUGUAGCGGUGAAAUGCUUAGAUAUCACGAAGAACUCCGAUUGCGAAGGCAGUUCACUGGACUGCAACUGACACUGAGGCUCGAAAGUGUGGGUAUCAAACAGGAUUAGAUACCCGUGUAGUC
rnacentral:rRNA from 1 species